rnacentral:lncRNA from 1 species
CCUGCCACCACAUAAGACAUGCCUGCUUCCCCUUCCGCCAUGAUUAUAAAUUUUCUGAGGCCUCUCCAGCCAUGCAGAACUACUUUUUCAGAUAAAAUUAUCCUGUUGUGGUAGCCAUGGAGAUGCAACACUUGGAGUGCCCUUCAAGAUAGAAAUUCCUGAUUAGCUGGGAAGAAUGCAGUUUGCUGACUGGCUCCAUCCUUCCGGGUGGACAAUAGAAAUCUUGAAUGCUUAUGGUAUGGGUGACCGUAAAAGAACAAAUUCAAUGUCUAAGGAGGCUUUUACACCAGAACAACUCCAUCUUGAAAAGGAGCUGGGUGAAAUGAGGCUGAGACCUACUGUGCUGCAUUCCCAGACGGAUCACCAAGGAUUCAGACCGAUACCAAUGAUGCAAUAAAGACAUCAUUUUUCCUCCAGGAAAAAAAGAGAAAUAUGGGUUUAGUCACCAAGGAAGAAGGCAGUAAAUAGCUUUGAACACUCACAUUUACACUCUAAUAUAUCUGUGUAAAGGAUAUGAAGGAUAUAAAUAAUUUAGAAAUUGUGGGGGAAGUAGGUAUCUCUAAUAUUGAAUAAAAAGAAAAUAAAUGACCAGAUCAAAUACCUAUGUUGACUUCUAUUAACACACUGUAAAGAUUUCCUCACAUGUUUUAACUAUAGGGCUGAGAUAGUUAAGAACAAACCUUUAACUUUGAGAGAGGUAUUGCCAAAUUGUAAUUUCGGAAGAAUUAAAAUCCUUACCUGCUGCCAUAAACAAAAGUCAGAUAAAGCUAGGUAAGGAAAAUUGUGAAGAAACUUAACUGUUGGAAUUUGAACAACUGGAGUUUUCUCAUGCCCUAUCCAAUACUGAGCCUUCCUUGUUCACUGAAGUCCCUUCACUUUUGUAUAUUGAGACUCUUCCUUCCCUGCUUAAAAAUGUUGCUAUUUUCUUGCCCCAGGGAAUUUUGUUGCAAAAACAAUACUGUUUCACUUAUACUUCUUUCACUGUUUUCACAAUUAUAAAUAGUCUGGUCCAAGUAUAUCCUAAAGAGCACAAAGAAAAUAAACAAAUGAACAAACAGAAAAAAAACUAAGUCUUCCUCAUUUAAAAAAUAAUAUCAAUUAUCCAGUUGCAUGUAAGAUAUGAAAAUUCUCUAUCAAUGUUAGAGGACAAU